rnacentral:lncRNA from 1 species
GCUUGAGAAUGUGCCAGUUGAGUUAUCUCAUUUUCUCCAGUAACGCUCCAGAAAGCAUCAAACUCUAGCUCAUUGUAUUCCCUCCUGAAACUGAUUUAAAAGGUCAGUUGAGCUUUUUUUUUUUUAAUGAAAAAAAUUGAAGAAAAAUCUUUCUUUACUCUGCAUUGCAAUUUGCUCAAACAUUGAUUUGAACAGUACUUUGUUUUUUGCCCAUUAAAAUAUAAAUUUUAGCCCCUGUUGACAUGAGCAUGGUCAUGAUCAUUCACUAUUCUUCUCGCGUUUCUUUACUUAAAAACAUAUGGUUGGACCAUGAUUAAGAAUAUGAAUAGCAUGUCUUUUUAUUCUAACAUAUAUUAACUUCUAUGGACUAUGGUACUAGACUAGAAAAUGCAGAAUCACUUGAAGAGAUUCCCUUAUAGGCAAGGAAACUUAAUUACACUUCUGAUCUUUUUCUUUUUAACUGAUUUUCCUGUAGUACAUCCUCAGUUUUAACUGAGAAAGAAAACAAUUCUAGUACGCAUGAUUUAACCUGGAAAAAUUUUCAGGCAUUUCAUCCUCAAGUACCGUACUUUCAAGGCGCUCCGUGGCCUUAUUCUGGCUUUCCAGUAUCAUUCUAUCCAGCACCGCCUAUUGGGAUGCACUGUAGCAAACCCUUGGAACAUACCGUG